rnacentral:tRNA from 1 species
GCUCCUGUAGCUCAACGGAUAGAGCAAUAGCCUUCUAAGCUAGAGGUUCCCGGUUCGAAUCCGGGCGGGGGUA